GAAAAGAUAAAACUGAAGAGUUUAAGGAUUUGCCUAGAACGUCUCAAGCAAUAUCCACGGAGAAGUAAAAGAUCAAGAAGUCCGGAGGAGAACCCAGCUGCAGGAGAAAAGAAGAAUAAACAAAUUUGCAGAGAUGGAGAUCGAAAGCAAUAUCCCCUACGAAGGAAAAGAUCAAGAAGUCCAGAGCAGAGCCCAGCUGGAGGAAAAGAGAACGUUAGAGAGGACGCCAAAACAUCGCAGUACCUCGAUAUUAAAAAUUACAGCCUUAUUAAAGAACUAGGAGAAGGCAACUUUGGCAAGGUGGUGUUGGCAUCAUAUAAAAUCAAGAACCAACUAACUGCAAUCAAGAUCAUCGAGAAGCAGCGGGAGGAAGAUUUCAAAUAUGUCAGACGAGAGGCAUCGGUUCUCCAGACUGCUAGCAGAUGCCCAUUUCUAUGCGGGGCAAUGGCAACAUUCCAA